CUGUGGGUUUAAUGUAUAGCACGUUAUAAAUGUAUGGACGAAGACGGCAUACGUCAUUUACAGUAAAUUCUGAAUAGGACGUGUAUCUCCUUCCUGUUGGAGUUUGAAACCGACGUGUCCAGUGAGGUCAUCGUGUUCGUCGUAGAAACGAAAGGAAGAGCGCCCGGUCGCCCCCCACCCCUCCUUCCCAUCCUCGGUCCCUCCCUCCGCUGCCUGCUGCUGCUGGCUCGCGCUGCCUCCGGGAUGACGCCACGCGCGCUCCGCCCCGCCCCAGCGCAAACUCGGUGCUCGCGUGCAUUUCAUUCCUGGUGUCAUUCCGCGCAUUCCGAGCAUCACAUUCCCGGCUGGCCCUCAAACACAAGAAUAACUUUACACAGUUCUCAAAAACUACACCAACCCACCUUAGGGAUACAUAAGGGAACGAUACAUAAAACAUAUCAGUCACGGACGUGUUUGAGUUGGCACGGCCGGGAGUUGCAGAUUUGAGGGGUACAUUUGCAGAGCUGUGAGAAAAUAUAGGGCAGAGAGACUUGUUGCUCGAACAUAUUUGUUCGUAUUUUUCCAUCCUCGACAUUUGAAAUCUUCACCGUAAGUACUGCAUGUCAGUUACAUUUCAAAUGUGUUUCAUCGAAUUCUUUACAUUCUUUAUUAAUGGCUUUGUAGCGAAAUCGUUGGCUCUAACCAAGAUAGUGUUUCAUAUGGGUGAUUUAGAUUUGUAAUCUCAGACGAAGGUUUUGCUUUAUCAUCUCAAUAAUAUUUACAUAACUUAAGUUACGAUGCUUGUGCUUCAUCGUAUCAUUGCUAAGGCCAAAUUCCAGGCAUUGAUGGUAGUCGAUUUGGUUUUUUUCAUAUCUUGUGUUUUGCUUGCUAAGUUAUGGAACUUGGCUAUGGUUAGCUACAAACCUCGUCCCUUGCAUUUGGAAAAGUACUUAGCGAGCUAGCUGGCUAGUGGGCAUACACACCUGGCUAAACUUUAAGUUACUAGAAUUUAAUGUUGCCAGCUGACGUUCUGCUUGGACCAUAAAGUUGGGUUUUCUUGACGUUUCGGUCUAAGAAUAACUUGGGUUGGCGCAUUUCAUGUGCUUUGGCCAUCUUAUUAUGCGAAUACAAAAGCGAACAUUAUGGUGAGCUAACGACAGCUAGCUGAAAAUCUGGCAUCUGAUCCUGUUUGCAAUUUCCUUUGUUGAAGUUGCCCGCUCCUGAAGCCCGCUAGUUAGCUCGGUUAACAUCAGUUCAGAGUUACGUUGUUUAGCCUGUUUUAGACAAUGUGUUGUACAGUGCUUACAUUAUUAGUCUAUGGUGAUUAAAACUUUGCUAAAUAGUUCGGAUACAAACGACUCCUCAUGUUUUGUUACUUGCUGAAAACACUGACCAUAGUAUCUGCUAGUUGUGGAUGUUUCGUAGCCACAGCCAACUGUAGUUAGCUUGCUAGCUGGUUGGCUAACACCGAUGUAGCCAGAAACAAGCUCGAUGUAUAACGUAAGCGGCUUUCUCGUGCCUUUGCCACAUUAGAAAUAAGUUUGCUAAUGUCUGGGUCGUGUAGCACUUAAUAAAAACGUCUAACGUACCA
ensembl:lncRNA